CCUGGGAUCGCUCCCGGAUCCACGUCCGGAGCGCUGAAAGCUCCAAAAUCCCUGGAAUUCGGGAGAAAUCUUCCCUCCACAUGAAUUCCACAGGGAAUUUUGGUGCCGAAUUCCUUUUUUUCCCCCUGGACCCUGAAUCCACAUUCUCAUGGAAUUAAUUCCAGAAUUUCUCCUGGGAUUUACCUGGCAGGGUUCAAAGCUGUGGGAUGCGGAUGAUUCCCAAAAAAAAUCCCUGGAAUUUUUGUCCCUGCAGAAAUCCAGACUCUUCCAGAGGCUUCUUCAGAGGGGCCCGGAGGCCGCCCCGUGAUUUCCCUUUAAUUUCCCGGCUGCACAGGAAAUCCCAGGGGCACUGGCGCCGCUUUUCCAGGCGGAUCCCAACAUUCCAAGGGCCUAAGGGAGGAACCCCCAAGGCAAAUCCCAAAUUCCUCUCACUUUUAUGGAUUCUCCCUGCCCUGAAUAAAAACAACAACAACAACAACACCCUGAA